CUUGGCCCUAGAAGUGUUGCAGGUAUAGUUGCUGUGUCAAUUGUAGCUGGCAGAAAGGAGAUAUCCUAUUUUUACACUCAGUGUUCUGAUCUACGAACAUNUGAAUGAUUAAUAGCCUAAUAUU
ensembl:snoRNA Gm24717 predicted gene, 24717